CGACAGGCUUGUAAAACAUGAAUUACGGUCAUAGUGAUCAGCUUCGGGGUCAUGGUUACUGGAUAGGAUUAGGGUUUAUAAAACCGUUUCAUUCGGCUGCAAAUCCACAAAUUCAUUUAAAUCACGUGAUAGCACUCUGGCGAGUUAAUUAGUAAACUUGUAUUAUGUACUUUCCUCAAUCUUCAGUUGUUGAUAUUUCGUUUAAAGUUAAACAUCGAUUUUUCUAACAAUGUAGAAUGGUAGACAUGCGGAAUCUUCAAACGAAGUUAAUAUUCCUACAAAUCAUCUCGCUAUCUCUCUGUGGUUGGUUACCAGUGAAACGUGAGGUGAAAAUAGAGUGGGAUCUUGAGUCGACACCUUUAGAAAUUAGAACUAAUAGUGUGCUGGGGAGUAACGAUGAGGUGCAUGUGUACUUCUACUCAGCUGAGGGAGCUGCAGGAGGAGUAGCGCUCUACUUCACCUCUACUCCAAAAUACUACCUCAGCUACUGCACAUCCUGGACUAACUUCCCUGUUAAACCCCCCUCUACUGCUGACAAGGUGUGGCGUAUCACUCUCACCACAACUGCAGGUGUUAGACUAGUGAUACACUGUAACGAGGUAGAGGUGCUCAGCAUACUGCUCUCUUCAUCAACGUGUAGUUACAGUGGCUUGGAGCAGUGUCGGAACAGCUGUCUGGAACAGAGACGUGACAAAGAUAGAGUUCACUUCCUCCGACACAGCAUCUGAUUACUACGGACCAGAGCCGUGUGGAGAAGGAACAUAUCGGAAUGAUGCUAUGACAAGCUGUGAGACAUGUGACGCUGGAUUGACGCCUAACUCUGACAAAAAAGCCUGUGAGCCGUGUGGAGAAAAAUUAUAUCGGAAUGAUGCUAUGACAAGCUGUGAGACAUGUGACGCUGGAUUGACA